GGAGGAUUAGCUCAGCUGGGAGAGCAUCUGCCUUACAAGCAGGGUCGCGGUUCGAUCCCGUCAUCCUCCACCA
rnacentral:tRNA from 1 species